rnacentral:rRNA from 1 species
CCAAGCCUACGGGGGGCAGCAGUGAGGAAUAUUGGUCAAUGGCCGUAAGGCUGAACCAGCCAAGUAGCGUGAGGGAAGACUGCCCUAUGGGUUGUAAACCUCUUUUAUGCGGGGAUAAAGGUGUCCACGUGUGGAUGUUUGCAGGUACCGCAUGAAUAAGGACCGGCUAACUCCGUGCCAGCAGCCGCGGUAAUACGGAGGAUGCGAGCGUUAUCCGGAUUUAUUGGGUUUAAAGGGUGCGCAGGCGGAAUGUCAAGUCAGCGGUAAAAUUUCGGGGCUCAACCCCGUCGUGCCGUUGAAACUGG